GGGAGGUAGACUGCAAUCACUUUCUGGAUCAAGGGAGGACUGUGAUACCACCCUGGAAGGAGGAACCAUGUAGUGACCUGGCCGGAGUGCUGAGUCAUGAAGAAGAGGCUGCAGUUCCUGGAGUGAGGUGGUCUGUAGGGCAAAAGGAUGACAGGAAAGCCACAGCCAGAGGAGGAUGCAAUGCCUGUCUGUAGCUAAUUACCAGAGUGAGGAGGAAGCUCUACUAACAACUCUUAAGGGCAAGGAACCAUCUUUUAAUUGCAUACACGAGCACAACGUGGCCCUGACCCUGGCCUUGAGACGCUGCUGCAGCAGAACAACCACCAUAACAGUAAUAAUAACAAUGACAAUAAUAAUAGCAAAUGUCAUUGGACCAUUAUCACAGAAUAUUGUAGUAUUUUUACAAGCUACAUAAGGGUGUAAAUGGCUUGUAACUAGUGCUGUGUGUAUAUAUUCCUAUGUGUAAAU